rnacentral:rRNA from 1 species
AGUGAACGCUGGCGGUAGGCCUAACACAUGCAAGUCGAACGGCAGCACAGUAAGAGCUUGCUCUUACGGGUGGCGAGUGGCGGACGGGUGAGGAAUACAUCGGAAUCUACUUUUUCGUGGGGGAUAACGUAGGGAAACUUACGCUAAUACCGCAUACGACCUACGGGUGAAAGCAGGGGAUCUUCGGACCUUGCGCGAUUGAAUGAGCCGAUGUCGGAUUAGCUAGUUGGCGGGGUAAAGGCCCACCAAGGCGACGAUCCGUAGCUGGUCUGAGAGGAUGAUCCGCCCCACUGGAACUGAGACACGGUCCAGCCUCCUACGGGAGGCAGCAGUGGGGAAUAUUGGACAAUGGGCGCAAGCCUGAUCCAGCCAUACCGCGUGGGUGAAGAAGGCCUUCGGGUUGUAAAGCCCUUUUGUUGGGAAAGAAAAGCAGCAGGUUAAUACCCCGCUGUUCUGACGGUACCCAAAGAAUAAGCACCGGCUAACUUCGUG